GACGAACGCUGGCGGCGUACUUAACACAUGCAAGUCGAACGGAAAGGCCCUGCUUGCAGGGUACUCGAGUGGCGAACGGGUGAGUAACACGUGGGUGAUCUGCCCUGCACUUCGGGAUAAGCCUGGGAAACUGGGUCUAAUACCGGAUAGGAGCCAUUUUUAGUGUGAUGGUUGGAAAGUUUUUUCGGUGUAGGAUGAGCUCGCGGCCUAUCAGCUUGUUGGUGGGGUAAUGGCCUACCAAGGCGGCGACGGGUAGCCGGCCUGAGAGGGUGGACGGCCACAUUGGGACUGAGAUACGGCCCAGACUCCUACGGGAGGCAGCAGUGGGGAAUAUUGCACAAUGGGCGCAAGCCUGAUGCAGCGACGCCGCGUGGGGGAUGACGGCCUUCGGGUUGUAAACUCCUUUCGCUAGGGACGAAGCUUUUUGUGACGGUACCUAGAUAAGAAGCACCGGCUAACUACGUG
rnacentral:rRNA from 1 species